AGGGUUUGAUCAUGGCUCAGAACGUACGCUGGCGGCACGCCUAACACAUGCAAGUCGAACGAAGUAGCAAUACUUAGUGGCAGACGGGUGAGUAACAUGUAGGUAUCUACCCUUUGGCCUGGAAUAACACGAGGAAACUUGUGCUAAUACUGGAUAAGUCUUUACGGAGAAAGCUUUAUGCACCAUUGGAUGAGCCUGCACUUGAUUAGUUUGUUGGUGGGGUAAUGGCCUACCAAGACUGUGAUCAAUAGCUGAUUUGAGAGGAUGAUCAGCCACAUUGGGACUGAGACACGGCCCAAACUCCUACGGGAGGCAGCAGUGGGGAAUCUUGCACAAUGGAGGAAACUCUGAUGCAGCGAUGCCGCGUGAGUGAAGAAGGCCCUUGGGUUGUAAAGCUCUUUCGUCGGGGAAGAAAAUGACUGUACCCGAAUAAGAAGGUCCGGCUAACUUCGUGCCAGCAGCCGCGGUAAUACGAAGGGACCUAGCGUAGUUCGGAAUUACUGGGCUUAAAGAGUUCGUAGGUGGUUGAAAAAGUUAGUGGUGAAAUCCCAGAGCUUAACUCUGGAACUGCCAUUAAAACUUUUCAGCUAGAGUAUGAUAGAGGAAAGCAGAAUUUCUAGUGUAGAGGUGAAAUUCGUAGAUAUUAGAAAGAAUACCAAUUGCGAAGGCAGCUUUCUGGAUCAUUACUGACACUGAGGAACGAAAGCAUGGGUAGCGAAGAGGAUUAGAUACCCUCGUAGUCCAUGCCGUAAACGAUGUGUGUUAGACGUUGGAAAUUUAUUUUCAGUGUCGCAGCGAAAGCGAUAAACACACCGCCUGGGGAGUACGACCGCAAGGUUAAAACUCAAAUGAAUUGACGGGGACCCGCACAAGUAGUGGAGCAUGUGGUUUAAUUCGAAGAUACGCGCAGAACCUUACCAACACUUGACAUGUUCGUCGCGACUCUAAGAGAUUAGAGUUUUCGGUUCGGCCGGACGAAACACAGGUGCUGCAUGGCUGUCGUCAGCUCGUGUCGUGAGAUGUUGGGUUAAGUCCCGCAACGAGCGCAACCCUCACUUUUAGUUGCCAUCAUUAAGUUGGGCACUCUGAAAGAACUGCCAGUGAUAAGCUGGAGGAAGGUGGGGAUGACGUCAAGUCCUCAUGGCCCUUACGUGUUGGGCUACACACGUGCUACAAUGGUAUCUACAACAGGAAGCAAGACUGCGAGGUCAAGCAAAUCCUUAAAAGAUACCUCAGUUCGGAUUGCACUCUGCAACUCGAGUGCAUGAAGCUGGAAUUACUAGUAAUCGUGGAUCAGCGUGCCACGGUGAAUGCGUUCCCGGGUCUUGUACACACCGCCCGUCACACCAUGGGAGUUGGUUCUACCUUAAG
rnacentral:rRNA from 1 species